AGAAACAUUCGUUGGUUAUGUGUGUUUUGGAAAUGGGGUAAGAGCACAGAGUGAUCUAAAGUCCCCUUUGCAUAAAGAGCUGACAAUUCCAAACCGCAGCCCUGAACACCCCAGUCAAGUCUAAUUAAUAGAUGCUGUUGGCUUUUUAGAGCUAUUUUCACAGUUCAGUUCCUCUAUCUGCACUGUCUCAGUUAGCAUGGAGGCCCACUUUCCUCUCAGCAGAGUCAGCCAAGGGUUUUCCAGGGCCAAACUUGUGUGUUCUCCUUCUUGCUUGCUUGGUGACAUGCUCUGUGAAUGCAGACAAGUUGUGCAACCUACUCUCUCUUCCCUGGCAGGGGAGCAGGGCCUUUGUGUGUGUGAAGGGCCAUGAGCCAUCGGAAUGGAGUGCAGUUAGCGGUGCUGGUGAGGAGAAUGACAGAGCAGCACAACCCAAUGACUAGGGGAUCUUGACGAGCCGCGCCUGCUUUCUUUACCCUCAGUUUCAACCACGAAGUUCAAAUGCCAGGGAGGUGCCAUGAGGUGGUGAGAAGAGCGUUAGGAUCCAGAGUUGGGGGCAGGAAUCCACUCUAAGCCACUGGCUGGCUGCAGAAUCUCAGGCAACUGCUUCAAAUUCUCCUCCGGUCAUCAAGCUCUCAUUAGCUCUACUCCUAACUCACUUCCUGCCUCCCAGGGUCUCCCUUCUCCAUCACUGCCACCAAGGAUCACCUCUGCCCACCCCACAGGGGGACCCAGCCAUUCCACCUAAAGAAUUACCCUGAAGAUGGCCGGGUGCAGGCUUACACCUGUAAUCUCAGCACUUUGGGAGGCCAAGGUGGGCAGAUCACGAGGUCAGCAGUUCAAGACCAGCCUGGCCAACGUGGUGAAACCCCAUCUCUACCAAAAAUACAAAAAUUAACUGGACGUGGUUGCAGGUGCCUGUAAUCCCAGCUACUCGGGAAGCUGAGGCAGGAGAAUCGCUUGAACCUGGGAGGCAGAGGUUGCAGUGAGCCGAGAUCAUGCCACUGCACUCCACUCUGGGUGCCAGAGCAAGAUUUCGUCACAAACAAAACAAAACAAAACAAAACAAAACAAAAACAAAAAAGAAUUACCCUGAAGAAACAACAACCGGAGACAAAAAUGGAGAUUUAAA
rnacentral:lncRNA from 10 species